rnacentral:lncRNA from 1 species
CAUGGUACUCGUCUCACAGUGCUUGAUGAGCAAUUUUCCAACCUCAAAAAUACUCAACAAACCAACCACUCGAAUCUCACCGUGACGGUUGACCGCCAUGGGACUACCCUUGAAGCAUUACAGACUAGCAAUGCAGCACUGUUAGCCUCAAAUCAGUGCCUGGAGCAGAUGUUUUAGAGACUUACAAAGAGGAAUCAGGAAGAACCCCUGGAUAGAAAACGUUGAGGGGUUCUACUCCGACCAGACCAGCUGGCAACACACUUGCUAAAGCUCAAUUUUCCCUACUUCUCAGGCAUCGAUCCCCC